GCGUCGGUAGUGCAAAUGGUUAGCACGUGGUCCCGGAUAAGGUGAAAUGCAGGUUCGAGACCCGCCUGACGCG